rnacentral:tRNA from 1 species
GGCUUUAAUGGUAAAGUUGGGAUUUGAAGUCUUUAACUUAGGGUGUUCGAAUCAUUCAAAAGUCU